rnacentral:tRNA from 1 species
GCAUUAGUAGCUCAGCGCCUAGAGCACCGGUCUUGUAAACCGGACGCCGGAAGUUAAAAUCUUCCCUACUGCU